rnacentral:rRNA from 1 species
GAACAGAAUGUCAAAGAGGGUGAGAAUCCCGUCUUGGACCGGCGGUAGGGCCUGUGUAAAACUCCUUCGACGAGUCGAGUUGUUUGGGAAUGCAGCUCAAAAUGGGUGGUAAAUUUCAUCUAAAGCUAAAUAUUGGCCAGAGACCGAUAGCGCACAAGUAGAGUGAUCGAAAGAUGAAAAGCACUUUGAAAAGAGAGUUAAACAGUAUGUGAAAUUGUUGAAAGGGAAGCGCUUGCAACCAGACUUGAGCGCGGCGGUUCCCCCAGCCUUUUGGCUGGGCUACUCCGUCGUGUCCAGGCCAACAUCUUGUUCUGAGGGUCGGUCAAAGGCUCUGGGAAUGUAUCUACCCACGGGUAGACUUAUAGACCAGGGUGUCAUGCGGCCUCUCGGGACCGAGGAACGCGCUUCGGCUCGGAUGUUGGCGUAAUGGUUGUCAGCGACCCGUCUUGAAAACACGGACCAAGGAGUCUAACAUCUAUGCGAGUGUUUGGGUGUCAAACCCGGAACGCGGAAUGAAAGUGAACGGAGGUAGGAAGCUUCGGCUGCACUAUCGACCGAUCCUGAAGUUUACGGAAGGAUUUGAGUAAGAGCAUAGCUGUUGGGACCCGAAAGAUGGUGAAAUAUGCCUGAAUAGGGUGAAGCCAGAGGAAACU